GAUGAACGCUGGCGGCGUGCCUAAUACAUGCAAGUCGAACGCUGGAAAUCUAGCUUGCUAGAUUGAAGGAGUGGCGAACGGGUGAGUAAUACAUAAGCAACCUACCCACGAAGACUGGGAUAAUCUCUGGAAACGGGGACUAAUACCGGAUAGGUAAUCGGAAGGCAUCUUCUGAUUAUUAAAGGUUAAAAACACUGGUGGAUGGGCUUAUGGCGCAUUAGUUAGUUGGUGAGGUAACGGCCCACCAAGACGAUGAUGCGUAGCCGGCCUGAGAGGGUGAACGGCCACAUUGGGACUGAGACACGGCCCAGACUCCUACGGGAGGCAGCAGUAGGGAAUUUGCGGCAAUGGGGGAAACCCUGACCGAGCAACGCCGCGUGAGUGAUGACGGCCUUCGGGUUGUAAAGCUCUGUUGUAAGGGAAGAACGGUAGAUAGAGAAUAUCUAAAUGACGGUACCUGACCAGAAAGCCACGGCUAACUACGUG
rnacentral:rRNA from 1 species